rnacentral:rRNA from 1 species
GACGAACGCUGGCGGCGUGCUUAACACAUGCAAGUCGAACGGAAAGGCCCUGCUUGCAGGGUACUCGAGUGGCGAACGGGUGAGUAACACGUGGGUGAUCUGCCCUGCACUUCGGGAUAAGCCUGGGAAACUGGGUCUAAUACCGGAUAGGAGCCAUUUUUAUUGUGAUGGUUGGAAAGUUUUUUCGGUGUAGGAUGAGCUCGCGGCCUAUCAGCUUGUUGGUGGGGUAAUGGCCUACCAAGGCGGCGACGGGUAGCCGGCCUGAGAGGGUGGACGGCCACAUUGGGACUGAGAGACGGCCCAGACUCCUACGGGAGGCAGCAGUGGGGAAUAUUGCACAAUGGGCGCAAGCCUGAUGCAGCGACGCCGCGUGGGGGAUGACGGCCUUUGGGUUGUAAACUCCUUUCGCUAGGGACGAAGCUUUUUGUGACGGUACCUAGAUAAGAAGCACCGGCUAACUACGUG